rnacentral:rRNA from 1 species
AGUGAACGCUGGCGGUAGGCCUAACACAUGCAAGUCGAACGGCAGCACAGUAAGAGCUUGCUCUUACGGGUGGCGAGUGGCGGACGGGUGAGGAAUACAUCGGAAUCUACUUUUUCGUGGGGGAUAACGUAGGGAAACUUACGCUAAUACCGCAUACGACCUACGGGUGAAAGCAGGGGAUCUUCGGACCUUGCGCGAUUGAAUGAGCCGAUGUCGGAUUAGCUAGUUGGCGGGGUAAAGGCCCACCAAGGCGACGAUCCGUAGCUGGUCUGAGAGGAUGAUCAGCCACACUGGAACUGAGAAACGGUCCAGAAUCCUAAGGGAGGCAGCAGUGGGGAAUAUUGGACAAUGGGCGCAAGCCUGAUCCAGCCAUACCGCGUGGGUGAAGAAGGCCUUAGGGUUGUAAAGCCCUUUUGUUGGGAAAGAAAAGCAGCAGGUUAAUACCCCGCUGUUCUGACGGUACCCAAAGAAUAAGCACCGGCUAACUUCGUG